UACGUAGGGUGCGAGCGUUGUCCGGAAUUAUUGGGCGUAAAGGGCUCGUAGGCGGUCUGUCACGUCGGGAGUGAAAACUCAGGGCUUAACCCUGAGCCUGCUUCCGAUACGGGCUGACUAGAGGUAUGCAGGGGAGAACGGAAUUCCUGGUGUAGCGGUGAAAUGCGCAGAUAUCAGGAGGAACACCGGUGGCGAAGGCGGUUCUCUGGGCAUCACCUGACGCUGAGGAGCGAAAGUGUGGGGAGCGAACAGG
rnacentral:rRNA from 1 species